CUCGUAGGCGGCUCGUCGCGUCCGGUGUGAAAGUCCAUCGCUUAACGGUGGAUCUGCGCCGGGUACGGGCGGGCUGGAGUGCGGUAGGGGAGACUGGAAUUCCCGGUGUAGGGUGAAAUCUGUAGAUAUCUGGAAGAACACCAAUGGCGAAGGCAGGUUUCCAGCACAUAACUGACGCUCAGGUGCGAAGGUGCGGGGAAUCAAACA
rnacentral:rRNA from 1 species